AUUGAACGCUGGCGGCAUGCUUUACACAUGCAAGUCGAACGGUAACAGGCCGCAAGGUGCUGACGAGUGGCGAACGGGUGAGUAAUGCAUCGGAACGUGUCAAGUCGUGGGGGAUAACGCAGCGAAAGCUGCGCUAAUACCGCAUACGAUCUAUGGAUGAAAGCGGGGGACCGUAAGGCCUCUCGCGAUUGGAACGGCCGAUGUCAGAUUAGGUCGUUGGUGGGGUAAAGGCCCAACAAGCCAACGAUCUGUAACUGGUCUGAGAGGACGACCAGCCAUACAGGGACUGAGAAACGGCCCAGACUCGUACAGUAAGCAGCAGUCGGAAAUGUUAGACGAUGGGCAGAAGUCUGGUCCAGCAAUGCCGAGUGCAGGAAGAAGGCCUUCGGGUUGUAAACUGCUUUUGUACGGUACGAAACGGUUCUCUCUAAUAGAGAGGGGUAAUGACGGUACCGUAAGAAUAGGCACCGGCUAACUACGUGCCAGCCGCCGUCGUAACAC
rnacentral:rRNA from 1 species